GAUGAACGCUGGCGGCGUGCCUAAUACAUGCAAGUCGAACGCGAGCACUUGUGCUCGAGUGGCGAACGGGUGAGUAAUACAUAAGUAACCUGCCCUAGACAGGGGGAUAACUAUUGGAAACCGAUAGGCUAAGACCGCAUAGGUACGGACACCUGCAUGGGUGACCGUAUUAAAAGUGCCUCAAAGCACGUGGUAGAGGAUGGGACUUAUGGCGCAUUAGCUGGUUGGCGGGGUAACGGCCCACCGAAGGCGACGAUGCGUAGCCGACCUGAGAGGGUGACCGGCCACACUGGGACUGAGACACGGCCCAG
rnacentral:rRNA from 1 species